AAUUCGCUUACAGCUCUCCCUUGGUCGAUGUUUCCUUGGCGAUAAAGAUGCGCUUCAUGUGACAACACUGAAAUCAAUUGAAUUCGACACAUUCGAUGGAAUAUUUCUUAAAGAUAUUUACGAUCCAAUUUGUGGUGCUAUAGUGGGCAAUAUGAAAACCGCUUAUGAUUACGUUCUAUUGAAUUUAAAAUUUUCUAGUAUAUACAAAAACAGUUGGAUUAAGUAUGCUUGACCAAUGCAUCACAUUGAACAGUGUUUAUACAUGGCGUAAAUUCUGUGGCAUCGUCUGUUCUAAACAUGCGUCCAUUUUUGUGACUUUGUGCUGAGUGAGGGCACAAACAACAAUACCACCGCAGUUCAUAGUUUACGAACACAUUUUUGCAUCGCACAAACGUU